rnacentral:rRNA from 1 species
CCUACGGGCGGCUGCAGUCGAGAAUCAUUCACAAUGGGGGAAACCCUGAUGGUGCGACGCCGCGUGGGGGAAUGAAGGUCUUCGGAUUGUAAACCCCUGUCAUGUGGGAGCAAAUUAAAAAGAUAGUACCACAAGAGGAAGAGACGGCUAACUCUGUGCCAGCAGCCGCGGUAAUACAGAGGUCUCAAGCGUUGUUCGGAAUCACUGGGCGUAAAGCGUGCGUAGGCUGUUUCGUAAGUCGUGUGUGAAAGGCGCGGGCUCAACCCGCGGACGGCACAUGAUACUGCGAGACUAGAGUAAGGGAGGGGGAACCGGAAUUCUCGGUGUAGCAGUGAAAUGCGUAGAUAUCGAGAGGAACACUCGUGGCGAAGGCGGGUUCCUGGACAGUAACUGACGCUGAGGCACGAAGGCCAGGGGAGCGAAAGGGAUUAGAUACCCCUGUAGUC